rnacentral:tRNA from 1 species
UCUCUGUUAGCGUACGGGUUAGUGCACGUCGCUGUCAUGAUGUCUAAGUUAUGCGGGAAAGCUGGGUUCGAGUCCCAGACAGAGAG